GACGAACGCUGGCGGCGCGCUUAACACAUGCAAGUCGAACGGAAGGGCCUGCUUUCCCUUGUGGAUUGCGGGUACUCGAGUGGCGAACGGGUGAGUAACACGUGAGUGAUCUGCCCCCAACUUGGGUAUAAGCCUGGGAAACUGGGUCUAAUUCCCGAUAGGACUGCAGGGUGGUGCCUGUGGUGGAAAACGAUUUUCUAGUGGUUGGGGAUGAGCUCGCGGCCUAUCAGCUUGUUGGUGGGGUAAUGGCCUACCAAGGCGGCGACGGGUAGCCGGCCUGAGAGGGUGGACGGCCACAUUGGGACUGAGAUACGGCCCAGACUCCUACGGGAGGCAGCAGUGGGGAAUAUUGCACAAUGGGCGGAAGCCUGAUGCAGCGACGCCGCGUGGGGGAUGACGGCCUUCGGGUUGUAAACUCCUUUCGACCGCGAGGAAGCCACCUGGUUGGAAGGGUGGUGACGGUAGUGGUAGAAGAAGCACCGGCUAACUACGUG
rnacentral:rRNA from 1 species